ensembl:lncRNA
UUUAAUGUAAUUUGAUGUAAUUUAAUGUAAUAUAACAUAACAGAACAGAACAGAACAUAAGGUAAGGUAAGGUGAUGUAACGGAGUCCCACAUGGUCGCAGUGCACGGUGGUGGUGGUGGACAGCCCAGGUUUGGAGGGGUAGGGCCGGGGCCGGUGCUGGUGCCCCUGGAGCACUGCCGCUGCUCUGUGUGUGCCGCGGGGGCCGGCGAGGAGCCCAGGGCUCCAGGCACGGUUUCUGCGGGCGCUCCCGCUUGUGCUGAGCCCACCCAGCCUCGCCUAGCGCCGGCGUUUCGCUUCUGGAGCAUCCCGGCCCUGCGGCAGCUUCCUC